UACAGAGGGUGCAAGCGUUGUUCGGAAUUAUUGGGCGUAAGGGCGCGUAGGCGGUGCGGUAAGUCUGUAGUGAAAUCUCUGGGCUCAACUCAGAGUCUGCUGCAGAAACUGCCGUGCUUGAGUGUGGGAGAGGUGAGUGGAAUUCCCGGUGUAGCGGUGAAAUGCGUAGAUAUCAGGAGGAACACCUGUGGCGAAAGCGGCUCACUGGACCAUAACUGACGCUGAUGCACGAAAGCUAGGGGAGCAAACAGG
rnacentral:rRNA from 1 species